GAAUAACAACAGGGGAGCCGGAGGAGUCCGGCUGAGAUUAAAACCGUAUCUGUUUUUAACCCUUUGACCUGAUCUGGGUAGUGCCAGCGUAGGGAUGAAUAAGCAGGAAG
rfam:Lactonifactor longoviformis DSM 17459 genome assembly, contig: EJ64DRAFT_scaffold00023.23